UGGAUAUUAGUUAAUAUUUAUAAUAAUUAAUUUGCACUUAAUAGUAAUUAAUUUUUAAUAUAUCUAA
rnacentral:tRNA from 1 species